rnacentral:rRNA from 1 species
CCUACGGGUGGCAGCAGUGGGGAAUAUUGCACAAUGGGCGAAAGCCUGAUGCAGCAACGCCGCGUGAAGGAAGAAGGGUUUCGGCUCGUAAAGCUCUAUCAGCAGGGAAGAAGAAAUGACGGUACCUGAGUAAGAAGCCCCGGCUAACUACGUGCCAGCAGCCGCGGUAAUACGUAGGGGGCAAGCGUUAUCCGGAAUUACUGGGUGUAAAGGGAGCGUAGACGGUGAUGUAAGUCUGGAGUGAAAGGCGGGGGCCCAACCCCCGGACUGCUCUGGAAACUAUGUGACUGGAGUGCAGGAGAGGUGAGCGGAAUUCCUAGUGUAGCGGUGAAAUGCGUAGAUAUUAGGAGGAACACCAGUGGCGAAGGCGGCUCACUGGACUGUAACUGACGUUGAGGCUCGAAAGCGUGGGGAGCAAACAGGAUUAGAUACCCUGGUAGUC